rnacentral:rRNA from 1 species
UACAGAGGGUGCGAGCGUUUAAUCGGAAUUACUGGGCGUAAAGCGUGCGUAGACGGCUAUCUAAGUCGGGUGUGAAAGCCCCGGGCUCAACCUGGGAAUUGCAUUCGAGACUGAAUAGCUAGGGUACGGUAGAGGGAAGUGGAAUUUCCGGUGUAGCGGUGAAAUGCGUAGAUAUCGGAAGGAACAUCAGUGGCGAAAGCGGCCGACUGGGCCGACCCUGACGCUGAGGCGCGAAGGCGUGGGGAGCGAACGGGGAUUAAGAUAC